rnacentral:rRNA from 1 species
AUGGGAAACCUGUCAAAGCUUGUUGUUCUGAAUAUUCGCAACAACAAUAUCUCGGGUACCAUUCCUCCUUCUUUUGCAGAUCUUGCAACAGUCACCGUGUUCAAUAUAAGAAGAAACUCUGUGCAUGGGCAAAUACCACCAUGGCUCGGCAAUUUGACAGCGCUGAAAGAUUUAAACAUGGGUGGGAAUAUGAUGAGCGGCGAUGUUCCACCAGCUUUGUCUAAGCUUAUCAAACUGCAAUUUCUGAGUCUAGCACUCAAUAAUCUGCAAGGUUUGAUCCCUCCUAUAUUAUUUAAUAUGUCGUCACUUGAACUCCUCAAUUUCGGAUCAAACCAACUGUCAGGCUCUCUACCACAAGAUAUUGGCUCUAUACUUCCUAACCUGAAACGUCUCAAUUUAUUCUACAACAAAAUGGAAGGCCAGAUUCCUGCCUCCUUGUCAAACACAUCUUCCCUUGAAUUUAUCAACCUCCAUGGGAAUAAAUUUUGGGGCCGAAUUCCAUCGAAUAUUGGCCAAAAUGGAUGUUUGACUGCAUUUGAAGUAGGGAAUAAUGAGCUGCAGGCUACAGAGUCAAGGGAUUGGGAUUUUCUGAGCUCCUUAGCUAACUGCAGCAACCUAUUUGUUGUAGAUCUUCAACUGAAUAACCUUUCAGGGAUUUUGCCAAAUAGCAUCGGUAAUCUCUCGCAAAAACUUGAAACCGUUCAAGUAGGAGGAAACCAAAUUUCUGGGCAUAUACCUACAGGAAUAGGAAGAUAUUACAAACUCACGAAGCUUGAGUUUGCAGAUAAUCUCUUCACAGGAACCAUACCUUCAGAUAUUGGAAAGCUAUCCAACCUAAGAAAACUGUUUCUAUUUCGGAAUAGAUACCAUGGGGAGAUUCCAUUGUCACUAGGCAACAUGUCACAACUAAAUAAGCUGAUUCUUUCAGACAAUAAUUUGGAGGGUAGCAUUCCAGCUACUUUUGGCAACCUUACUGAGUUAAUCUCGCUGGACCUUUCCUUUAACCUCUUGAGUGGGAAAAUCCCAGAAGAAGUUAUAAGCAUUUCUUCCCUGGCUGUAUUUCUCAAUCUCUCAAACAAUUUAUUAGAUGGGCCUAUUUCUCCACAUGUUGGGCAGCUAGCCAAUCUUGCAAUAAUUGAUUUCUCAUGUAACAAGUUAUCAGGUGCAAUCCCAAAUACCCUUGGUACUUGUGCAGAAUUGCAAUUCCUACACUUACAAGGGAAUAUCUUGCAUGGAAAAAUUCCAAAAGAACUCAUGGCAUUAAGAGGGCUAGAAGAGCUGGACCUCUCUAAUAAUAACUUAUCAGGACCUGUCCCUGAAUUUCUUGAGAGCUUCCAGCUUCUGAAGAAUCUAAACCUUUCAUUCAACCACCUAUCAGGUCCGGUGCCAUAUAAGGGGAUCUUUUCAAAUCCAAGCGCUGUGUCUCUCACAAGUAAUGGCAUGCUAUGUGGUGGCCCUGUGUUCUUUCAUUUCCCUGCAUGCCCAUACCCAGCCCAUGAUAAGCUUGCACGUCACAAACUGCUUCACAUCUUGGUGUUUACUGUGGUCGGAGCAUUCAUCCUUCUCUGUGUCAGCAUUGCUACACGCUGUUACAUUAAGAAGUCAAGAGGUGGUGCCCGCCAAGGUCAGACAAACAUCCCUGAGUUGUUUCAGAGGAUGUCAUACGCUGAGUUGCUUCUCUGGAAAAUUUGGUUGGCCGUGGAAGCUUCGGCAGUGUAUAUAAAGGGACUUUUGGUUCUGGUGCAAAUUUGA